AUUGAACGCUGGCGGCAUGCUUUACACAUGCAAGUCGAACGGCAGCGCGGGCUUCGGCCUGGCGGCGAGUGGCGAACGGGUGAGUAAUGCAUCGGAACGUGCCCAGUAGUGGGGGAUAGCCCGGCGAAAGCCGGAUUAAUACCGCAUACGACCUGAGGGUGAAAGCGGGGGACCGAAAGGCCUCGCGCUAUUGGAGCGGCCGAUGUCGGUUUAGCUAGUUGGUGGGGUAAAGGCUUACCAAGGCGACGAUCCGUAGCUGGUCGGAGAGGACGACCAGCCACACUGGGACUGAGACACGGCCCAGACUCCUACGGGAGGCAGCAGUGGGGAAUUUUGGACAAUGGGGGCAACCCUGAUCCAGCCAUGCCGCGUGCGGGAAGAAGGCCUUCGGGUUGUAAACCGCUUUUGUUCGGGAAGAAAUCCUCUGGGCUAAUACCCCGGGGGGAUGACGGUACCGGAAGAAUAAGCACCGGCUAACUACGUG
rnacentral:rRNA from 1 species